GACCAAAGGUGGUAUGGUGAUUUUAGCAACAUGGUUGAGCAAAGCAGCUCUUGAAGAACAAACAACUGUUAUUCUUAUCAUUUUUAAGGUUCUUCGUCACCUUCUAUUACAUAAGGCUUUGCCAGUACAUAUUUCAGCCAUAUUACAAACUGUUAACAGGUUGCGAUUUUACUGGACAUCAGGGAGAUUUGGCAAAUUACCUUCAAAAGAAAGGACGUCUACAGCCUUCUAAAGCUCUGAGAUUUUCUCUUGAUAUUGCUAGGUCAAGUAUGGUUACCUGAUUUGGCAAUUCUGCUUCUAUCCUUGUGCUUCCCUGUUGGAAUGUAACUCUUUAGAGAUGGAAACCUCUCGUUACAAAUAUCAUGUGGAUGAACUUACCUUGUUCACGCAAGUAUCUAUUUUCUCUUAUGCAAUGUGUUUCUAAAAUUUAUCAUCAUCACUAGAAAAAGGUAACAGAGUCUUUUUGCCAUUGUCUAAUCUUUUAUUUUCCCUUGAACAGCUUUUACCCUGCUUUCAGAGCUUGGUAGUUUCAAGUUAAAAUCCAUUCAUUACACUAGUAAUCGUAAUUAAAUUUGAUCCAAACAUGCCCUUAAAUUGUCUUUUAAGAUGUCAUGUUGCAAUAACAAUGUACUCAAAACAAUGGAUUUCAUGACGAGCGGUCCAGAUGAUGGUUCUAAUGCAUAUGUGAUCAUAACAAAAACAAGUACAACAACUCAUCAGGUGGGCCACUCAUUUAUGAAAAAAAUAAAAAUUGAUUUAGAAUUAAAUAGAAAUUGGUCACAUACCCAGCUUGUCUGCAGUUUCUUCUGGUUAAUCACUAUC